UACAAUAAGCGGAGGAAAAGAAACCAACAGGGAUUGCCCCAGUAACGGCGAGUGAAGCGGCAACAGCUCAAAUUUGAAAUCUGGCCCCCGGGUCCGAGUUGUAAUUUGUAGAGGAUGCUUUUGGCGAGGUGCCUUCCGAGUUCCCUGGAACGGGACGCCAUAGAGGGUGAGAGCCCCGUCUGGUCGGACACCGAGCCUCUGUAAAGCUCCUUCGACGAGUCGAGUAGUUUGGGAAUGCUGCUCAAAAUGGGAGGUAUAUGUCUUCUAAAGCUAAAUAUUGGCCAGAGACCGAUAGCGCACAAGUAGAGUGAUCGAAAGAUGAAAAGCACUUUGAAAAGAGGGUUAAAAAGUACGUGAAAUUGUUGAAAGGGAAGCGCCUAUGACCAGACUUGGGCCCGGUGAAUCAUCCAGCGUUCUCGCUGGUGCACUUUGCCGGGCACAGGCCAGCAUCAGUUUGGCGCGGGGGAGAAAGGCUCUGGGAAUGUGGCUCCUCCGGGAGUGUUAUAGCCCACUGCGUAAUACCCUGCGCCGGACUGAGGUACGCGCAUUGCAAGGAUGCUGGCGUAAUGGUCAUCAGCGACCCGUCUUGAAACACGGACCAAGGAGUCGUCUUCGUAUGCGAGUGUUCGGGUGUCAAACCCCUACGCGUAAUGAAAGUGAACGCAGGUGAGAGCUUCGGCGCAUCAUCGACCGAUCCUGAUGUUCUCGGAUGGAUUUGAGUAAGAGCAUACGGGGCCGGACCCGAAAGAAGGUGAACUAUGCCUGUAUAGGGUGAAGCCAGAGGAAACUCUGGUGGAGGCUCGCAGCGGUUCUGACGUGCGAAUCGAUCGUCAAAUAUGGGCAUGGGGGCGAAAGACUAAUCGAACCUUCUAGUAGCUGGUUCCGC
rnacentral:rRNA from 1 species